rnacentral:rRNA from 1 species
UAAGAUUGAGCUGUGAUGGGGAGAGGAACUUGUUCCUCGAGUCGUUGAUUUCACACUGCCGAGAAAAGCCUCUAGCUAGAAUAACGGUGCCCGUACCGCAAACCGACACAGGUAGUCAAGAUGAGAAUUCUAAGGUGAGCGAGCGAACUCUCGUUAAGGAACUCGGCAAAAUGACCCCGUAACUUCGGGAGAAGGGGUGCUCUUUGAGGUUCACGCUUCGAAGAGCCGCAGUGAAUAGGCCCAAGCGACUGUUUAUCAAAAACACAGGUCUCUGCUAAACCGUAAGGUGACGUAUAGGGGCUGACGCCUGCCCGGUGCUGGAAGGUUAAGAGGAGUGGUUAGCGCAAGCGAAGCUACGAAUCGAAGCCCCAGUAAACGGCGGCCGUAACUAUAACGGUCCUAAGGUAGCGAAAUUCCUUGUCGGGUAAGUUCCGACCCGCACGAAAGGCGUAACGAUUUGGGCACUGUCUCAACGAGAGACUCGGUGAAAUCAUAGUACCGGUGAAGAUGCCGGUUACCCGCGACAGGACGGAAAGACCCCGUGGAGCUUUACUGUAGCCUGAUAUUGAAAUUCGGUACAGUUUGUACAGGAUAGGUAGGAGCCUUAGAAGCGUGAGCGCUAGCUUACGUGGAGGCAUUGGUGGGAUACUACCCUAAUUGUAUUGGAUUUCUAACCCGCAGCACUUAUCGUGCUGGGAGACAGUGUCAGGCGGGCAGUUUGACUGGGGCGGUCGCCUCCUAAAGAGUAACGGAGGCGCUCAAAGGUUCCCUCAGAAUGGUUGGAAAUCAUUCAUAGAGUGUAAAGGCAUAAGGGAGCUUGACUGCGAGACCUACAAGUCGAGCAGGGUCGAAAGACGGACUUAGUGAUCCGGUGGUUCCGCAUGGAAGGGCCAUCGCUCAACGGAUAAAAGCUACCCCGGGGAUAACAGGCUUAUCUCCCCCAAGAGUUCACAUCGACGGGGAGGUUUGGCACCUCGAUGUCGGCUCAUCGCAUCCUGGGGCUGUAGUCGGUCCCAAGGGUUGGGCUGUUCGCCCAUUAAAGCGGUACGCGAGCUGGGUUCAGAACGUCGUGAGACAGUUCGGUCCCUAUCCGUCGUGGGCGUAGGAAAUUUGAGAGGAGCUGUCCUUAGUACGAGAGGACCGGGAUGGACAUACCUCUGGUGUACCAGUUGUCGUGCCAACGGCAUAGCUGGGUAGCUAUGUAUGGACGGGAUAAGUGCUGAAAGCAUCUAAGCAUGAAGCCCCCCUCGAGAUGAGAUUUCCCAACUUCGGUUAUAAGAUCCCUCAAAGAUGAUGAGGUGAAUAGGUUCGAGGUGGAAGCGUAGCGAUACGUGGAGCUGACGAAUACUA